UACGUAGGGGGCAAGCGUUGUCCGGAAUCAUUGGGCGUAAAGAGCGUGUAGGCGGUCUUUUAAGUCGGAUGUGAAAGCCCUCGGCUUAACCGAGGAAGUGCAUCCGAAACUGAAAGGCUUGAGUACUGAAGAGGGUCGCGGAAUUCCCGGUGUAGAGGUGAAAUUCGUAGAUAUCGGGAGGAACACCGGUGGCGAAGGCGGCGACCUGGGCAGAUACUGACGCUGAGGUGCGAAAGCGUGGGGAGCAAACAGG
rnacentral:rRNA from 1 species